AACGAACGCUGGCGGCAUGCCUAACACAUGCAAGUCGAACGAGAUCUUCGGGUCUAGUGGCGCACGGGUGCGUAACGCGUGGGAAUCUGCCCUUUGGUUCGGAAUAACAGUUGGAAACGACUGCUAAUACCGGAUGAUGACGAAAGUCCAAAGAUUUAUCGCCAGAGGAUGAGCCCGCGUAGGAUUAGCUAGUUGGUGUGGUAAAGGCGCACCAAGGCGACGAUCCUUAGCUGGUCUGAGAGGAUGAUCAGCCACACUGGGACUGAGACACGGCCCAGACUCCUACGGGAGGCAGCAGUGGGGAAUAUUGGACAAUGGGCGAAAGCCUGAUCCAGCAAUGCCGCGUGAGUGAUGAAGGCCUUAGGGUUGUAAAGCUCUUUUACCCGUGAUGAUAAUGACAGUAGCGGGAGAAUAAGCCCCGGCUAACUCCGUGCCAGCAGCCGCCGUAA
rnacentral:rRNA from 1 species